UGAGUUACAGCGAUUUUUCCUCUUCUUCUCUCUUAGCACCUUGCCUGAGCAAUCCAAAAGUCCUGCUUUUGUCUCCCUGCCCAGCCACUUUUUAUUACCAAUCGAAGCCAGCUGGGGAAAGGAACCCUCAAUGUCUGGAAGCGUGGCUUUUGGAAGCUGAAUUAAGACAAAGCAUUAGAACCAAUUCCUAACACAGUCCUGGAGCCUCUGAAAUCCAUAAUCUGUAGAAUUCAGGAUCUGGGAGAUCCAGGACCCACCACCCAUAGACUUCUCCUGUAUAAACUUCUCUGAAUUUGUGGAUUGUAACAUAGUUAUCCUUUACUUAAGAGUUAAUAUCCAUGUACAACUUCGUUGGUUCUACAAGAUAUUAUGGGAACUAUCAAGGAAAGAGUACCAAUAAACAAUCCUACCCAGCUGCAACACUGAUGAACCCUGACAAUUACUAGCAUAUCAAGUUUUGAAUAAAGAAUGGCACUAAACAAUGGAAUCUUAGCCAUUAAGAAGUGGAGUUACAAGACAAAGCACCUUCUGAAAUCCAUAGAGGUUCUAAGAUCAGCACAUGGUUUUUAUGGUGUAAUUUCAAGAAAGAUCUCCUUUGGAAUAUGGCUAG